rnacentral:misc_RNA from 1 species
AAAGGUGCAUGAGUGGUGUUUGGUUUGUUACGUGUGGUUGGCUGCGGCGUUUGCAACAACUUCCAUGCUUUCAGACCUCUUCAGUUGUGCGGCAAGGCUUGUAUCGCCUUGAGCGUAUUGUGGGUUUUCUGUGUUGGCUACCUAAUCAAUGGUAUCGGUUGGAUUGAUCAAUGUUUCAUUUCGUCUACCGUCGCAUUCGCGGCGUGAGAUGAACCUUGAUGCGGUCUCUUUGAUCCACCUCGUCGAAGCGCAUGCUUUGGCGUUGUGGCACAUUGAGCAUUGCUUGGUCUCUUGUAUACGGAACAUAUAGUGGGCAUGGAUCUAACGAUUCUCGUUUGCCCUCAUAUUAGCGUAACGCUUCUCUUACACGACUUGCACCACGUUUUAGCUCGUACGGACGUGGU